AGAUUGAACGCUGGCGGCAUGCCUUACACAUGCAAGUCGAACGGUAGAGUAGCAAUACUUGAGAGUGGCGAACGGGUGAGUAAUAUAUCGGAACGUGCCCAGUCGUGGGGGAUAACGUAGAGAAAUUUACGCUAAUACCGCAUACGAUCCAAGGAUGAAAGCGGGGGACCGUAAGGCCUCGCGCGACUGGAGCGGCUGAUAUCAGAUUAGCUUGUGGUAGAGGUAAAGCUCACCAAGGCGACGAUCUGUAGCUUGGUUUGAGAGAACGACCAGCCACACGUGGGACUGAGACACCGGCCCAGACCUCCGUACGGGAGCAGCAGGUCGGGUAAUUUGGACAAGUGGGC
rnacentral:rRNA from 1 species